GCGGACAGAAGGGAGCUUGCUCCCGGAUGUUAGCGGCGGACGGGUGAGUAACACGUGGGUAACCUGCCUGUAAGACUGGGAUAACUCCGGGAAACCGGAGCUAAUACCGGAUAGUUCCUUGAACCGCAUGGUUCAAGGAUGAAAGACGGUUUCGGCUGUCACUUACAGAUGGACCCGCGGCGCAUUAGCUAGUUGGUGAGGUAACGGCUCACCAAGGCGACGAUGCGUAGCCGACCUGAGAGGGUGAUCGGCCACACUGGGACUGAGACACGGCCCAGACUCCUACGGGAGGCAGCAGUAGGGAAUCUUCCGCAAUGGACGAAAGUCUGACGGAGCAACGCCGCGUGAGUGAUGAAGGUUUUCGGAUCGUAAAGCUCUGUUGUUAGGGAAGAACAAGUGCAAGAGUAACUGCUUGCACCUUGACGGUACCUAACCAGAAAGCCACGGCUAACUACGUGCCAGCAGCCGCGGUAAUACGUAGGUGGCAAGCGUUGUCCGGAAUUAUUGGGCGUAAAGGGCUCGCAGGCGGUUUCUUAAGUCUGAUGUGAAAGCCCCCGGCUCAACCGGGGAGGGUCAUUGGAAACUGGGAAACUUGAGUGCAGAAGAGGAGAGUGGAAUUCCACGUGUAGCGGUGAAAUGCGUAGAGAUGUGGAGGAACACCAGUGGCGAAAGCGACUCUCUGGUCUGUAACUGACGCUGAGGAGCGAAAGCGUGGGGAGCGAACAGGAUUAGAUACCCUGGUAGUCCACGCCGUAACGAUGAGUGCUAAGUGUUAAGGGGUUUCCGCCCCUUAGUGCUGCAGCUA
rnacentral:rRNA from 1 species